GACAGAGGCCUCAAGCGUUAGGCGGAAUCACUGGGCUUAAAGCGUGUGUAGGCGGAUGCCUAAGUACCUUGUGAAAUCCCACGGCUCAACCGUGGAACUGCUGGGUAUACUGGGCGUCUUGGGCCAUUCAGGGGCGACUGGAACAAGCGGUGGAGCGGUGAAAUGCGUAGAUAUCGCUUGGAACGCCGAAGGUGAAAACAGGCUGCUGGGGUUGCGCCGACGCUGAGACACGAAAGCCAGGGGAGCAAACGGG
rnacentral:rRNA from 1 species